GACGAACGCUGGCGGCGUGCCUAACACAUGCAAGUCGAACGAGGUCCAUCCGGUGGCAACACCGGUGAAGACCUAGUGGCGAACGGGUGAGUAACACGUGAGGAACCUGCCCCGAAGACCGGGAUAACUCUCCGAAAGGAGAGCUAAUACCGGAUGCCCCCACCCGGCCGCAUGACCGGGUGAGGAAAUGGAUUCCGCUUCGGGAGGGCCUCGCGGCCUAUCAGCUUGUUGGUGGGGUAACGGCCCACCAAGGCAUCGACGGGUAGCUGGUCUGAGAGGACGAUCAGCCACACUGGGACUGAGACACGGCCCAGACUCCUACGGGAGGCAGCAGUGGGGAAUCUUGCGCAAUGGGCGAGAGCCUGACGCAGCAACGCCGCGUGGGGGAUGAAGGCUCUCGGGUUGUAAACCCCUUUCAGCAGGGACGAAUCAAGACGGUACCUGCAGAAGAAGCCCCGGCUAACUACGUGCCAGCAGCCGCCGUAAAAC
rnacentral:rRNA from 1 species